GUCGGUGUCUGCAGGGCCCCGGACGCCUAGGUGGCGGAGCAGCUGGUCAGCUAUCGUCUAUGAUAGAGUGAGGUGUUGGCGACAGAAGUUCCAGUGACUGCCUGAGGCGUAAGGCCGGACUCUGAACUGGGAGGGACACAGAGCAGAGGGCAGCAGCCUUCCCAUAUCACCUGCAGACAGGAUGGGCAAGCAGACAGCGAUGGCACAGCACGAAGCAGAGCCCACCACUGAGCCCACCAGCCCAGACGGGUUACCUUUUUACGUGGCCGAAGCUUGUCCCGCCAUUCCUUUAGGUUCUGGUUAUGGCUUUCGUCCAGGGCCUUCAGCUUCUGGGUUUCAUGCUCUACCAGGAGGUGACACUUUUCAUUCUGCAACAUAUUCCAGGAAGUACAGGACACAGCAAGAAGGCAUCCAUCCGCAAGCCAGAGAGAGAGACUUCACCAGAACCCAGCCAUGCUGGCAAAGCUGAUCUUGGAU